UUAAACAACUUUCUUUUUCAUUAAUCUUUGGGAAUCUUUUCCUAUACGACUUUUCAUCUGUUUUUUUAUUCUUCUGCAACUAUGUCGACGAGAGAGAAGAAGCUGGUUGUCCGACCACCAACCACGGAUCUGGGCUCUGUUCACGGCGUCCUGCAUCAUGGGAGUCCUCCCUGUGUAACAUCGGCUCCUCGCGCAGAGAUUAUCCCAGAUCUGGGAACAAUGGUUCCCUUAUCACCACCGUAAGGUAUACAUCGAAUACAACCGGCAAUCACACCUCCUCCCACCAUAGCCAUUUCUCCAUGUCUCUCAGUCACCUCUCCUCUCAUGCUAGAAAGGAAGCAACGAAAUCUUGCGACGGAGCCUGUCUCGUAUGAAGAAGUUUAACAAGAGCUUUGCCGGCCUCGUAUCCGCUUCUUUCAUCGCUAACAACAACGGAUUCUACGCAAACAAGCUCUUUUUCUGCGAAAUCGAGUAGCUCAGUCCUAAUCUCAGCUAGGUUAGCUGAAUCCAUGGUAGAUUUUGUCUUUGAUGGAGGUGUUUGCCGGCGAAGUUAAGAAGCUCGAAGAUGGCAUGUUUGUUAUUACUUAUUAGGUUUAGUUAGCAAAUAGGUUUAGGUUUAAGCUUGGUUUAAUUUUGGUUUGUUUGGUUUAUUUCUUUUCCAUGUAAACCAGUUGUAAUUUAAAACUCAAUAUAAUUUAUAUAUUAAAAUUUUGAUAUAUUAA